AACGAACGCUGGCGGCGCGCCUAAUACAUGCAAGUCGAACGAGAAUGUGUAGCAAUACACAUGUACAGUGGCGAACGGGUGAGGACUACAUGGGUAACCUACCCUCGAGUGGGGAAUAACUAGCCGAAAGGUUAGCUAAUACCGCGUACGCUUCCCGGACUGCGGUUCGGGAAGGAAAGCGAUACCGUGGGUAUCGCGCUCUUGGAUGGGCUCAUGCCCUAUCAGCUUGUUGGUGAGGUAACGGCUCACCAAGGCUUCGACGGGUAGCUGAUUUGGGAGGAUGAUCAGCCACACUGGCACUGCGACACGGGCCAGACUCCUACGGGAGGCAGCAGUGAGGAAUAUUGCGCAAUGGGGGAAACCCUGACGCAGCGACGCCGCGUGGGUGAAGAAGGCUCUCGGGUUGUAAAGCCCUGUCAGGUGGGAAGAAACCUCUGAAGGUGAAUAGUCUUCGGAGCUGACGGUACCACCAAAGGAAGCACCGGCUAACUCCGUGCCAGCAGCCGCGGUAAUAC
rnacentral:rRNA from 1 species